CCUACGGGAGGCAGCAGUGAGGAAUAUUGGUCAAUGGGCGCUAGCCUGAACCAGCCAAGUAGCGUGAAGGAUGACUGCCCUAUGGGUUGUAAACUUCUUUUAUCUGGGAAUAAAGUGCAGUAUGUAUACUGCUUUGCAUGUACCUUAUGAAAAAGGAUCGGCUAACUCCGUGCCAGCAGCCGCGGUAAUACGGAGGAUCCGAGCGUUAUCCGGAUUUAUUGGGUUUAAAGGGAGCGUAGGCGGUUUGUUAAGUCAGUUGUGAAAGUCUGCGGCUCAACCGUAACAUUGCAGUUGAUACUGGCAGCCUUGAGUACAGGAGAGGUAGGCGGAAUUCGUGGUGUAGCGGUGAAAUGCUUAGAUAUCACGAAGAACUCCGAUGGCGAAGGCAGCCUGCUGGACUGUAACUGACGCUGAUGCUCGAAAGCGUGGGUAUCAAACAGGAUUAGAUACCCGGGUAGUC
rnacentral:rRNA from 1 species